AACCUUAGUUUAGAUUUAGUAGACGGAUUUUUCGUCAGAUACGCAAAAUCCUACCGUUUGCGGCGGAGUAUUGUAACGUUAUGGACUACGCAGAGACGUGUCCUAACGUUAAUCUUAAAUUAGAAAUAAAAUUAGCAUAAUAAAAUAAAACUACGUAAUAAAUUAAAAAUAUACUUAAUUUAAUAAUAUAAAACUUAACAAUAACUCUUAAUACUAAUUUACUUAAAACUAAAUCUUAAUGCUACAAGAGAAUUAAAUUAACUAAUAUAAUGAACCCUAAAUUUAAUCUCACACAUAAUUGGUUUUUAAAUCUGCGCGGAGCGCACACGCAUCCCUAAGGUGGGAGUGUCUAACCCGCGCGACGAGCCGAUGGGUUCCGACAACAGCCGAUCACACGAACUGGCAGUCGCUCGGUUUUCUCCGCGCCAGACCGCAAUUUGCUAUACUACGCAACACCUGUGCCGUUCUCCUAAGCGAAACCGUUACGUACGCGCACUCCGCGUCUCGUUUAAAUACGUUGGAAGUUAAACACUAUAAUCUAUAUAACUUUUGGAUCCCGCUAGGGAUCAGAGCUACCUGAUUGACCCCAACCGUUACCAGUUCAGAAGACUGAAGACCUACGGGAAGUAACGUGUUACCUACCUACCCCUGCUGUCAAGAACUACCCUCAGACACUACCCGACAUAGUAUCUCUGCUGUGACCCUCGGAAGCUUCGCGGAUCAUCCUCAGGCCAGUGUCCUCCCUCACAUUAGACUAUCUCUCGGUCAGCUAUGUGCCAGGAAUAAGACAGAAUAAACAUCUUGUAAUCUUA